CGCUUGAUUUCGGACACAAGAAAUUCAUUUAGUUCUAGUAAUGAGUGCUCAAUCAUCAUUAAUAUUCAUUAUUUUCGAGUUAUUAUACGGUUCAAAAUGUGCACCAACUUCUCAUCCCGAGAAAAUAGUUUUUCCCGAGCUUAUAGAAGGUCGGGAUGAUAGCGCAUCAAAAGUGCUAAAAAUCACAGAAGACUUAACCUUGAAUUUGGAGAAGAGCACAGUUCUAGCCAAAGAGUUUCUUUUGAGGACGUACGACGGACGUUUAAUGCAACAUACCUAUUUGGACGGAGGAAUGUUAGAAAAGGACCUUUACCACGACACUCGUUAUUUCUCCUCUGUGAUGGUAUCGCAAGAAAACGGACUACAAGUCGAGGGCGUUUUACGGCCACAAUUGAGAAUAAAACCAUCAAUGGUCAGCGUGAGAACAGGGAGUGGAAGAAUUGCGCAUGUUCUUUAUGAAAUUCCUCUCGACACAGAAGGUGGAAAUGAAGGAGUCUUACACACGCUUCAUUUAAUAUUUCUGAACGGC